rnacentral:lncRNA from 1 species
CCAAACUGAAGUUGCUGGCGUCUAUCUUCCACGAGAACCAGGAGGCUCAGCUGCGGCUCACGCUCCACUGCAACAUGAGAAUGGGACAACAGAAGAAGUGACUUCAGAGGAAGAGGAAGAAGAGGAGAUGGCUGAAACAUAUAGGAGGUCCAGGCAGCAUGAACAGCUCCCUGGUCAGAGACACAUGGAUUUGCUCACUGGUUACUCAAAGCUGAUUCAAAGCCGAUUAAAGCUGCUGCUUCAUCUGGGGUCCCAACCUCCAGUGGGAAAAACAUUCUUCUUUUCCUGCUGGUGUCACCCACUGUUCCACGGAUCCAAAACAACACCCAAUGUUUGGUACAAAUUUAGUGAAACAGCUCUUUCCAUUCUUAACUCAUGCCAAGCAUCUCAGCUUGGGGUCAGGAAAAUGCCAGGGGACAUGAGCUCUUCUCCUAGAGUUAGAGAAUUCUCUGCCUUAGUUGCAAUAAAGGAAAAGAUACACAUUCUUCCUACAAAUGCCAAAGUAGGCUCAAAAUUUGGUUCCUAGAGUAGAGUAUUGAAGUCGUGGCAAAGAUCUUUCCAGUGAUCAAAGCAGUGGCUCGUUAUGUUCCCUCAGACUGAAGCUACAGUCUCAUCUUCACUUUCUGUUAGCUCCCUCCAUCCUCUGCGUAGGCCCACACCUGCUUCUUACAGUUGUGUGGAUUAUAGCACCUCCUCUCCAGCCUCAGGACCUUUGUGAGUGCUGCUCCUUCUUCCUUGACUGCUCUUCACCAGGGAUCCUCAGGGCACAGCCCUUACCUCCUGCAAGUCUUGACUUAAAUGUCACUUUCUCAGGGAGGCCCACACUCAUCACCAUUUCACACCCACCUCCCACAUGACCUUAUUUUACCUGUUCUCUCUUCUCCUCUUUUUUUUAGAGUACUUAUGAUCUCAUGUGGUACAUUUUGGGGUUUUUGGUUCUUCUGUAUCCGCCACUGCCAUGAUCAGUUAGAAUGUUGGAAACCAAGGAAACUUGGUUUUUUGGCCUGUGAUGAAAACUAUGGGGUCUAAUAGUAUCUGAUAAAGUGGCAGACCCUCAAUUAUUAUUUGCUGAGUAAAUGAAUGAAGGUGUGUAGACAACUAGCUCUAGAAGCUUAAAUGAGUGAUACCAUGUUUUAUAACAUUGGAAGAGGCCGGGAAUGGUGGCUCACGCCUGUAAUCUCAGCAUUUUGGGAGGCCAAGGUGGAUGGAUCUCUUGAGGUCAGGAGUUUGAGACCAGCCUGGCCAACAUGGUGAAACCUUGUCUCUACUAAAAAUGCAAAAAUUAGCUGGACGUGGUGGCACACGCCUGUAAUCCCAGCUACUCUGGAGGCUGAGGCACAGCAUCACUUGAACCCAGGAGGCAGAGGUUGCAGUGAGCUGAGAUGGUGCCACUGCACUCCAGCCUGGGCAACAGAGUGAGACUCUGUCUCCAAAAACAGAAAAAAGAAAGGGGGGGAAGAAAAGAAGAAGGAAGAGGAAAGGGAGGAGGAGGAUUUAUCAUUCACUUACACUAGAAACAGUGAAAAUAGAUAAUAGCUAUAAUUUACUCACAUCUUAUCUAAAACACAAAUUCAGGGUAAUUUAUGAGCAAGUCAUUUUCCGGUGGGCUUUCGAUAGUGUGUGAAUUUGGAAUGAAUGCUGGUACUUCCAGCUCCCUUCCACCUGCAGCACCAGGAAGCCAUUGUUGUGGGGAGGCCACCAACUUGGCUGGCAUGUUGCUUCUGCCUCAGUUAGUGAUGAUGGUGAUUUGGAGAGAAAGGACACUCUGCUAGGCUCCAAAUCCAAAGGAUCAAGUGGAUAAAUGAAAUGAAUAUCUAAAUAAAUAUCAAUUAGGUCAAAAGUUUGUUUUCAUCUAAAUGAAAUCUGAACACUACUUAGGGCUAUGAAACAUAGCCAGAGGACAUGGCCAGCUCUGGAGUGGGGCCUGGACUUGCUCUCCCCUGCUGGAAGUGCUUUUCCUCCCAGAGCUCAGAGCACCAUGUGCGUGU